rnacentral:rRNA from 1 species
AGCAGUAGCCGCGGGAAUACGAAGGGUGCAAGCGUUACUCGGAAUUACUGGGCGUAAAGCGUGCGUAGGUGGUGGUUUAAGUCCGUUGUGAAAGCCCUGGGCUCAACCUGGGAAUUGCAGUGGAUACUGGGUCACUAGAGUGUGGUAGAGGAUAGUGGAAUUUCCGGUGUAGCAGUGAAAUGCGUAGAGAUCGGAAGGAACAUCUGUGGCGAAGGCGACUAUCUGGGCCAACACUGACACUGAGGCACGAAAGCGUGGGGAGCAAACAGGAUUAGAUACCCCAGUAGUCCCUGUCUCUUAUAA